rnacentral:rRNA from 1 species
GACGAACGCUGGCGGCGUGCUUAACACAUGCAAGUCGAACGGAGAACCGGUGCUUGCUCGGGGUUUCAGCGGCGCGCGGGUGUGACAUGCCUGGGAAUCUCCCUGCUAUCUGGGAUAAACGCGUGCAAACGGGUGCUAUUACCGCAUCGACACUGCGCGAGAUCGUGGGGGGUGGUCGGAUUCGGCGGUAUCGGAUGAGCCCGCGGCCGAUUAGCUAGUUGGUGGGGUAAGGGCCUACCAAGGCGACGAUGGGUAGCUGGCCUGAGAGGGUGAUCGGCCACAUUGGUACUGAGAGACGGCGCAGACUCCUACGGUAGGCAGCAGGGGGGAGUAUUGCACAAUGGGCGCAAGCGUGAUGCAGAGACGCCGCGUUUGGGAUGACGGCCUUCGUGUUGUAAACCGCUGUCAGCUGGGACGUAGCGGGAGUGACGGUACCAGCAGAAGAAGCACCGGCUAACUACGUG